rnacentral:rRNA from 1 species
CAGUCGACGAUGAAGCCUUUCGGGGUGGAUUAGUGGCGAACGGGUGAGUAACACGUGGGCGAUCUGCCCUUCACUCUGGGACAAGCCCUGGAAAAGGGGGCUAAUACCGGAUAACACUCUGUCCCGCAUGGGACGGGGUUAAAAGCUCCGGCGGUGAAGGAUGAGCCCGCGGCCUAUCAGCUUGUUGGUGGGGUAAUGGCCUACCAAGGCGACGACGGGUAGCCGGCCUGAGAGGGCGACCGGCCAAACUGGGACUGAGACACGGCCCAGACUCCUACGGGAGGCAGCAGUGGGAAAUAUUGCACAAUGGGCGAAAGCCUGAUGCAGCGACGCCGCGUGAGGGAUGACGGCCUUCGGGUUGUAAACCUCUUUCAGCAGGGAAGAAGCGAGAGUGACGGUACCUGCAGAAGAAGCGCCGGCUAACUACGUGCCAGCAGCCGCGGUAAUACGUAGGGCGCAAGCGUUGUCCGGAAUUAUUGGGCGUAAAGAGCUCGUAGGCGGCUUGUUGCGUCGGUUGUGAAAGCCCGGGGCUUAACCCCGGGUCUGCAGUCGAUACGGGCAGGCUAGAGUGUGGUAGGGGAGAUCGGAAUUCCUGGUGUAGCGGUGAAAUGCGCAGAUAUCAGGAGGAACACCGGUGGCGAAGGCGGAUCUCUGGGCCAUUACUGACGCUGAGGAGCGAAAGCGUGGGGAGCGAACAGGAUUAGAUACCCUGGUAGUCCACGCCGUUAACGUUGGGAACUAGGUGUUGGCGACAUUCCACGUCGUCGGUGCCGCAGCUAACGCAUUAAGUUCCCUGCCUGUGGAUUACGGCCGCUAGGCUAAAACUCAAAGAAUUGACGGUGGCCCGCACAAGCAUCGGAACAUGUUGCUUUAUUCGACGCUACUCUAAUAACCUUACCAAGGCUUGACAUAUACCGAAAAGCAUCACAUAUUGUGCUCCCCUUUGUGUCGGUUUUCCGG